UUUUUUUUUUUUGGAUAGAUAAAUUUAGUUAUAAAAAGCAGGAUUUGAAGUAUAAUAUGGUAAAAGACCUAUAAUGCAAUAAAACGGGUUUAGAGAUCUGAACCCAUGGUCUAAACACAAACCUAGCUAAAGACACCAUAACCCAUACAAGCAUAACCCAACAGAAAUUCUAAAAGGGUUGCUUGCAACCCGGACUCAAUAGCCUAGAUGAGCUAAGCACGAGCACUGCAUGGAGGACCAGCCUCUCCCAGAAUCUUCAGCAUCUUUGCCGGUAGUCUUUCAUCCCCAGCCACAUCAACGAGAAUCAGAAAAAAAACGAAGUUCAACACAAACCAAUUGAAGCACAAGAUCAUAGCAACAUGGAAUCAUAGGGACUCGGGAGAAAAGAGAGUGUUUUGAUGGCUUUUAAUCUGCUUUAGCCGGAAGGGGCAGCCACAAUCUCAGAUGGAAGGCCAGCAUUAUAAACCUUGGGAACCUUUUUUCUAAGAAUUCCACCAGAGCACAACUCUAGAGCCCUGUAACUCUCACAUACGAAGAAACCAUAGAAACUCACAUUGAUGACCAAAUUAGGCAGAGGAUAUGGGCGGUGGGUUUUUUGGCGUACCACUAGAGCCUUCUGGACUAACGUCUAGAUCGCAUCCCGUGAACCACCACCACUUUGCAAUAAUGUCUCCGGUGUCAUGCAAGAAAUAGUGGCACCCACCAAUAGAGAAGCUCCCAUCUCCACCAUAAAAACCAGGAGUAUACACUCAUAGUCGACGAUUCAAGGCUGCAUAAGUCGAUCAAAGUUCCUGCCAAUAAAAGCUUUGGAUCUGCAAACCAAAACCCUAUCCAUCCAAAAAGGAUGAAGGAGAACUCACUCUUGGGUGGAGGAGACCCCUUGCUCUUGAGAAGCAGGGAGGCCGCUUGCCAGCAAAAAAACGAGGGACAAAGCCCUUAGAACAAGAGAAACAGAUGGAGAAAAAUUCUAUUUCUAUAGUUUAGAGAGAUUGGCAGCAGUAGUUAAUUAAUUAUACGGUUUCUACACAUGAUAAUUGAUAAUUCUAAUUACUAGCUCCAUUAAUGGUCUUCUCGAAGAUGCUCAACACAUGAGAUAAAUGACCUUCAACUUCAAGCAUCUCCUUUUCAUUGUCUUGCUGUGUCUGCUGCUGAUGAGAAGUUGAUUUUUAAACUGAAUAAAAUAUAUGUGAUAGCUAAACAAUUUAUCCAAGAUUUAUUAUUUUACCGAAAUGAAAUUAUGGCAUCUGAAUAUCAGUGUAUGAGAGAGAAGAACCUUUCCAUUCUAAAACCACAAACAAAAGCUCCCACGUGAACCCAAAAGCUGUCAACCAAUUUCCACCAUAGCAGAGGAACAAAACAAAACGUAACAUCACUUGCUACUAUUACCCAAAAUAAAAAAAGUAAGCAAUAAUACAGAAAUAAUCAGCACCACCAUUGGAAUAUGCCACCAUCUUUCACCUCCGUCCAUCCAUGAUUCCCUCAUUUUCACCACCACAGGCACAAGUCCAUGCAUGCAUGCCAAAAUUUCUCUCUCUUUCUUUCUUUCUUUCUGUUUGCGGGAGAGAAGGAAUCUCGAAAACCCUCCAAAUAUUUCUCUUUCAUUUUUUGUUGGCAUCCUUCAAGAUUAAGGAGAAAGAUAUUUCCCUUUCUUGGUUUGUGUUUCUCUCUCUGCCUUUUUCUCAUCCAUGACAAGCACCCACCUUGCAUGCUGCUGCUGCACCUCCACAUUUGCUCGUUUUCCUCUUUCUUCCUAUCCUCUUUUUCGCUUUCUCCUUUUGUUUCUUCUUCUUCUUCUCCUUCCUCUUUUACUCUUCUUGUUUCUUUCUCUUCUUCCACCUUCCCUUCAGCUUUCAACUUUCCAUUACUAUUAGGCGAAUGUCCACCUCCUUCACAUAUCUUCAAAGAUCUCUCUAUAAUAGGAGUAGAGGCAGGGCUAGGGCUACUUGAACUAAGGUCAGGUGGUGUGCUUUGAGUCCCAACAUCUCUAGUCAUGCCUUCCAUUUUCUUUUCUUGAAGGGGAAAUUGAACACAAUCAUCUGGUGUUGCAACGGAGGGCUUUGUGUGGACUUUCUUCGAAUGGGAAGAGUAAACAAGAGGUGCAGACAUUGUAAUUCUAUUUGCUGGGUUACGAAAUGAUCUCCCGCUAAGAGUUUUUGCUGACAAACAUUCCACUGGUACCUCUCCUGAAAGCGGAUUGCAUAUAUACUUCUCCGCGUCAUUCCACUUAGAAUUCAAUGCAAACCCAUCUGGUGAUAAGCAAUCCCAGCUGUUAUACACUGCUCUUGCCUGCAAUGCUUUGAGAGCAGUAGUGAAGGAGUAUGUUGAUGGGUCAAUUUCUUCUGAAAAAAGCACAAGUACCACAGAAGUUGGUUUUGCUUGAAAAAUGGAAACUAAAAAGGAAGAACAGAUGCAAAGAAAGUAAGAGACCUUUGAGAGGAUAGCCAGGAGAUGAAGCGGUGCUAGAGAUGGUAAUGCUUGAUCUAAAAGACCUUGCAUCUUCUCUGAAACUUCUGAUAUGUGAUCCUGAAAACCUUCUUGAUUUGGUGUUCUCACGACUGAUUUGAGCCCUUGAAGCCCAUUCUCUGAGAUUGAACUCUGGUUCCUCUCGUCGUCGAGAACCAUAGGGAGAUUGUUCCGUUGUUGAAUUAGCCAUGAAUCAAU
rnacentral:misc_RNA from 1 species